CCUUUGACGUUAUCGGCGGACGGGUGAGUAACACGUGGGUAACCUACCUAUAAGACUGGGAUAACUUCGGGAAACCGGAGCUAAUACCGGAUAAUAUUUCGAACCGCAUGGUUCGAUAGUGAAAGAUGGUUUUGCUAUCACUUAUAGAUGGACCCGCGCCGUAUUAGCUAGUUGGUAAGGUAACGGCUUACCAAGGCGACGAUACGUAGCCGACCUGAGAGGGUGAUCGGCCACACUGGAACUGAGACACGGUCCAGACUCCUACGGGAGGCAGCAGGC
rnacentral:rRNA from 1 species